AUUGAACGCUGGCGGCAUGCCUUACACAUGCAGGUCGAACGGCAGCACGGGAGCAAUCCUGGUGGCGAGUGGCGAACGGGUGAGUAAUAUAUCGGAACGUGCCCAGUAGUGGGGGAUAACUGCUCGAAAGAGCAGCUAAUACCGCAUACGACCUGAGGGUGAAAGGGGGGGAUCGCAAGACCUCUCGCUAUUGGAGCAGCCGAUAUCAGAUUAGCUAGUUGGUGGGGUAAAGGCCUACCAAGGCAACGAUCUGUAGUUGGUCUGAGAGGACGACCAGCCACACUGGGACUGAGACACGGCCCAGACUCCUACGGGAGGCAGCAGUGGGGAAUUUUGGACAAUGGGCGCAAGCCUGAUCCAGCAAUGCCGCGUGCAGGAAGAAGGCCUUCGGGUUGUAAACUGCUUUUGUCAGGGAAGAAAUCCUCUAGGUUAAUACCCUUGGGGGGAUGACGGUACCUGAAGAAUAAGCACCGGCUAACUACGUGCCAGCCGCCGCGGUAAUAC
rnacentral:rRNA from 1 species